UUAUUGGAGAGUUUGAUCCUGGCUCAGGAUGAACGCUGGCGGCGUGCCUAAUACAUGCAAGUCGAGCGAAUGGAUUGAGAGCUUGCUCUCAAGAAGUUAGCGGCGGACGGGUGAGUAACACGUGGGUAACCUGCCCAUAAGACUGGGAUAACUCCGGGAAACCGGGGCUAAUACCGGAUAACAUUUUGAACUGCAUAGUUCGAAAUUGAAAGGCGGCUUCGGCUGUCACUUAUGGAUGGACCCGCGUCGCAUUAGCUAGUUGGUGAGGUAACGGCUCACCAAGGCAACGAUGCGUAGCCGACCUGAGAGGGUGAUCGGCCACACUGGGACUGAGACACGGCCCAGACUCCUACGGGAGGC
rnacentral:rRNA from 1 species